UCAGUGCUCUCAUAUGUAACAGCAACUCCAUGUGGACUACACUAACUUCCAGUGGAGGUGCUGUUACUUUUGAUAGCCACUCA
rnacentral:pre_miRNA from 1 species